rnacentral:lncRNA from 1 species
CACUUUCAAAUAUUAUUCAAUUAAACGAGAUGAAAUCCACAUCGGAACCUCAAACCGAAACUCAACACAAAGUCCAAAUCAUAUCUCAACCACGAAUAUCAAAAUUAGAUUCCCGAAUCUCACCCCGCACUCUAUUUUCAUCAACCUAAAACAAAAAUCUAGAAACAAUGAGAGACCCGUACCGAUUCGUGCACCCCAUUACUGCUCCGUUGGGGUUUGCUUAGAUUGGAGAAUAUUUGUUAUUGUGGUGUCACCGGCGAUCCAGAUAACUCAGGUAACAGCAAUAUUCAAUGAAUGGGAUCGAACUCCGGCAGCUCUCAGGAGAAACUCGCCGGAGCUGUAACCCUACCCCUUUUUUUCGAUUCUCACUCCCUCCUUCUCUCGAUUUAUGUCUCUCUUAAUCUCCCUUUAUUCUAUGUGUGUAUGUGUGCGUGCCAUUUUUUGUAUGCUGUCCAAAAAAAAUCACGUUAUUUUAUCCUAAGAGAAAACGGCAUCCUUUUUUUCUCAAAAUGAUAAUGAUCCAAAAAAAAUCCCUCCUUGUUGUUGUCCUUAUUUCUAUUUAUGUACAGUGAGGUUUUUAUUUGCGUAUGACAAAAUGACAACAAAAAUGGUAGGAUCCAAGUAAGGUGUGCAUCUGGAAAUUUCUUGGAAUAUUCACUAUGUGAAUACUUAUCCGUUUGAUUUUGGGAAAAGAAAGGGGAGGGGGUCACAUGGGAGGUGGGGUAGUAGGGUGUUAAGUGGUUUUCUUAUUGGAGAGGGUUGUUAAUUGGUUAUUAAAGAAGAUAAAAUUUGUUAAGGGUUGUUGGAUUUGUUAUUUUGUCAUUUUGUGGAGGGAUAAUUACACGGGGAAGGGCACGUGGUAAGAUGAAGGUAAACGAACAGAUAAGUUGCAUCUUCGGGAGGGAAAAAAUUAGUUGUCUACAUCAUGCCCCCUUUGAAUGUAAACACUAAGUGUUUUCAUAUAAAGAAGUAGACAACAAGAUCAAAUUUUGACCCGACCAUUAUUCAAGAUGAGAAACAGAAAUAAGAAAGACCACCGAGUCCUGACUCGGGACAUCCUACCCACCCAAGUUAUGGAGGAGUCAAGUGACGGGUAAUUCAAAGGAUUGGCAGGAGAUGGACUAUACCGAGUUAGAGAGUCGAGUGAGGUCCCAGCGAGGUUUUGGUCCGCGGCUCUGUCAUUACAUCAAAAUGAAAACUACAAGUUAAAACAUAAAUGAAAUUACAAAAUCCUAUCUAUACAGCUUUUGUUGGACUCCUGAAUUAAGUUUCAUCACCCUAUUCUUCAGGCGGGCUCCUGACUUGCAAUUUUAUCACUUGUUGCUUGGUUUUCAAUUGCUUCACUUUGUUGCUUAACUUUUCAUUUAUUCGCCCUGUGCUUUGGGCGGGCUCCUGACUUACCAUUUCAUCACCCUGUUCUGCAGGCAGGCUCCUAUCUUGCAAUUUUAUCACCUUGUUGUUUGGCUUUCAAUUGUUUUACCUCAUUGCUUAACUUUCAAUUUCUUUACCCUAUUCUUCAGGCGGGCUCCUGACUUGCUAUUUUUCAAUCUUUUAACUUUCAACUUUUCACCUUGUUUCUUGACUUUUAACUUCUUCACUUUGUUGCUUGACUUUUCAUUUCUUCACCUUGUUCUCCAGGAAGGCUCCUAAAAUCACAUCAAAACUAAAAAGAAAAUUAUCCCAAACAAAGAUUAUUAUAAAGAGGUUUUAUUUGUUAGAAAAGUGAAGUUCCAAACACAAGAAUUAAAUUUUGCCCAAUUUAUCAUCAAAGGACUUUUGUGAAAGUCACAUCAUUAUAGGAAUCAAAGGGAAUGACUCGACUAAAAGGUACGUCUUAUAGGAAUCAAAGGGAAUGACUCGACUAAAAGGUACGUCUUAUAGGAAUCAUAGGGAAUGACUUGACUAAAAGGUACGUCUUCUAGGGGUCAAGUGGAAUGACUCGACUAAAAGGUACGUCUUAUAGGAAUCCAAGGGAUAUGACUCUACUAAAAGGUAUGCCUUAUAGGAAUCAAAGGAAAUGACUUGACUAAAAGGUACGUCUUAUAGGAAUCAAAGGAGAUGACUCAACUAAAAGGUACGUCUUUUAGGGGUCAAGGGGAAUGACUCGACUAAAAGGUACGUCUUCUAGGGGUCAAGUGGAAUGACUCGACUAAAAGUUACGUCUUAUAGGAAUCCAAGGGAUAUGACUCGACUAAAAGGUAUACCUUAUAGGAAUCAAAGGAAAUGACUCAACUAAAAGGUACACCUUAUAGGAAUCAAAGGGAGAUGACUCAACUAAAAGGUACGUCCUCUAGGGGUCAAAGGGAAUGACUCGACUAAAAGGUACGCCUUAUAGGAAUCAAGGGAGAUGACUCGACUAAAAGGUACGUCUUAUAGGAAUCAAUGGUAAUGACUCGACUAAAAGGUACGUCUUCUAGGGGCCAAGGGGAAUGACUCGACUAAAAGGUACGUCUUAUAGGAAUCAAAGGGAGAUGACUCAACUAAAAGGUACGUCUUCUAGGUGUCAAGGGGAAUGACUCGACUAAAAGGUACAUCUUAUAGGAAUCAAAGGGGAUGACUCAACUAAAAGGUACGUCUUAUAGGAAUCAAAGAAAAUAGGAAUCAAAGGGGAUGACUCGACUAAAAGGUACGUCUUAUAGGAAUCAAGGGGAAUGACUCGAAUAAAAGGUACGUCUUCUAGGGGUCAAGGGGAAUGAAUCAACUAAAAGGUACGUCUUAUAGGAAUCAAAGGGGAUGACUCGACUAAAAGGUACGUCUUCUAGGAGUGAAGGUUCAAUUUAAGAAGUGUAUCACCUAGCAAAUGAAAACUGAAAUCCCUGGACAAGAAAGUGUGUCUUCGAGGGAUAUAGGAUGAUGAAAUUUUACCAUGAUUUUAUUAUCAAACCUGUGUAGCAAUAUUUCUUUCUGCAUUUGUAAAAGUGAGGCGUUGCAACCCUUGAUGUUUAUGCUCUGAAUCCCCUGCUUUGAAGGUAAUAUAUCUCCUGUUUCAUCAAAGAAAACUUGUGAGUUUAAAACAUGGUGGCUGGUUUGUGGCUUUAGCUUUCACGGCGAUCGCUCUUGCCCUCGUCACAUUUAACCUUGCUUCCAACCAUUAGCUUAUAUCAUUGACUUGCUGAGUCAUUGACCCGAGCUUAGAUUAUUAAGAGUGACUAAAACAAAGACAGUAUCUCUGCUUUGCCAUGCUUCUCAGAUAGACCCUUUGAACCUUGGUAUUCCCAUCAGUUCCCUGACUUCUCUGUUGACAAAACUUUCUGCAUGCCCUUUUUUGGAUCACAAUCAUGUCUCUUUCAUGUGCUAGCUUUUGUCUUGCUUUGUGCAAUUAAAGAAGCUGUUAGCCAAUUUUGAAAUCUUUUCUCACUUAUUUUGACAUGGACUUAACUCAAAGACAAGAAACAAAAAAAAGAAUAAAAAUUUUUGUUUGGAUAAAUGAAUCAAGAAAGAUAAAAUAAAAAUAAAGAGAAGAAAGAAAAGACAAUGAAUGUGCCCUUUUGAAACAAAGAAACAAAAAAUUCAACUGAAAAUGACAGUCAACACUAAUGAUUAUGCCAUGCAUUUUGGAUUAAGCAGCUUGAUCUUUUCAUCCAAAUUUUCUACCCAUUUUUGUUGAGUUAAUGGCCUUGAAACUGAGUUGUUUCCUUAGGUCAACUGCAUUUAAGACCCAUUCAGCUAGUGGCACCUUGAAGGGUUUUCGCCAACAAGCUUCUCUCAUUUUUUUUCCUCAGCUCACCAUUGCCUUAUGGUGUUUGUAAGGGUUUUCCACUAAUGAGAAUCUCUUAUCUUCAUAUCCCUUAACUCACUGUCAUUUUACGGUGCUCGUGAGGGUUUUCACCAAUAAGACUCUCUCAUUUUUAUUUCUCUCUUGAUUUCUUAUGCUGAGGAAGACAAGUAGUUACCAAAUGCAUCAUCAUAUCCCUUACAUGCUUAGCCUUAACAUCCUCAAAGAUUGAUCUGAAGGUCUUUCUUUGGUUGUAACUUGUCUUUUGGACAAGGUUAGAAAGAAAGGAUGACAUGAGUCCCAAACGACACUUGUAGUAGGGUGGGACUUACAACUUUUGGAAUUGACUCAAAUAAUAAGGAUUACCUCAUGCCCUAAUUUCUUUUGACUGGAAAAUUCUAAAUUGUUAUUUCGUUGGACCAAGCCCUAAGUAGGGCAGCCUACGUAUCUUACCCUCGAGAGAGGAGAAUCAGGUCAUGUGUAGUUCUGAUAGCUUAUUCUUUUUUUGCUUGAUUCUGACUUGUUCUUCUUCUUCUUUUUUUGUACUCUUUUUUCUUUGUGAUUUUUCUGACUCCAAUUUCUUGACACUCUUUUCUUCCUUCGUGGAUACAUUUUUCUCUCUUUCCUUUUUUUUUUAAAACUUUCUGACUCUAUUCUCUUACUCGAUUCUUUUCUUUUGAGCUUUGCUGGCUUUAUCUUGAUUCCAAAAGAGGGGUAUGAAAGAAAAUAACACUAAGGCUCAAAUGGGGUAACAAAGGAUGACACAAUGUUUGGAUAGCAGAAUAAAAUGUCUUCAUCAUAUCAAUCCUUAAAAAUACCAGUACAUAGCAUACAAUGUGAAAGUGCACUAGCAACAUCACUUAUGACAUGUUUUACAACACUAACUUUCCCCGAGCAUGUGUGUCACCUCUUUUUCUAUACUUUUCAAACAUACAACUCCACCCCUCACUUUGAAUGACUCAUGCUUUCGUGGAGUUGAUUUUCUUUCUUCUCCUCUUGAUAGGAUCACGCAGACACUGCUUGACCUAAUUGAGACAUGUCUUUCAAUUGAUGACCAAGUUAUUCUUGUGAUUCUCAAAAUAAAUGGCCUUAAUUUUCAAAUAAGGAUGAACUUGUCACCAAAUGUCUCAGCACUCUACUAUUUUCUCAGACGCUCUCUUUUUCUAGCUUUAACCCCCUGAUUUAAUGCUCAUGCUUAAACUAGAUUUUAAGAUCUGGCUGAAAAUUUCCCUAGCACGUCAUAUCAUUAGAGUCAACAUAAAAUGUACUAUGUAAAGAAAACAAACAAACAACACAUAUUUAAAACAUAAAGGAAAAUAGGAUACUUCAUUUAGUUGAAACAAAAGAUAGAAGGGUUUGAACAUAAAUAUCAAAAGGACAAAACAAGAUAGAUCCCGAACUACAACCCUGAAAUAAUUUGGAUAACAGAAAAUAAAACAAAACAAACUACCAGACCUCUCCCUAGUAAGGAGAAGGGUGACUUCUCAAAUGCUCAGCCUGACAUCUUAGCCACUGGUUUACAUAUCAGCAUGACUAGAGUUUCUCUCACUGUCAAUGUUCUGCACCAUAAUUGAUCCAUCUUGAAUCAUCUUUUCAAUAUCUCUUUUCAAAUCUCGACAAUCUUUAAUACUAUGACCCUGAGCAUCAGAAUGAUACUCACAUCGUACAUUAGGAUCAAAAUUUCUGGAAUGUCGAUUAAGAGUGCACCCAAGGAGAGGAGUGAUCAUGCCCCAUUGUACCAAUCUCUAAAAUAAACUGGCAUACGACUCUCCAAUUAGUGUGAAGCUAUCUCUUGACUUUUGCCUUAUUUCAUCGUUUGGCUUGGAUCAAAAAUCAGGCUUAGAAGGGUUUUGGUAUGUUUGUGGAAUUAGAGGACGACUUUGAGGAGUUGGUGUAUUCCACUGUAGGUAACAUGGGAGAUGAACAUAUGGUUGUGUGUUAUAAACUAGAUACGGGGGUAGAGGAGCAGAGCAUAAUGAAUUUUGGGAGUGAUUAUGUGGAGCUUGGGCAUGAACUUAGGUUGGAGCCUGAGAGCGACGACGACGGGGUCUUCUUGACCUAUCCUGCUGUCCAACUACAGUAGCAGAUGCAUCUUUCUCAUUCUUUUUCUCCCCAACACUUCCUGAACUCUUUUGAAUUGCUUGAGUAGUCGCUUUCAAUGUUGCAAAACUCACAAUGCAACCAGUCUUAAUUCCCUCUUCUAUUAUCUCCCCCAUUUUAAGAACUUCAAUGAACGGCUUGCCUAAUGCAAGUAACAAGUGUUGAUAAUAUGUUUCAUCCUGUACUUGAAUAAAUACCUCCACUAUCUUACUUUCAUUCAUUGGCGGUUUCACCCUAGCAGCUUGUUCACGCCAUCUGAUCGCAUACUCCCUGAAACUCUCAGUAUUCUUCUUUUUUCUACAAGUUAGGGAUUUUUUGUCAGGGAUCAACUCCACAUUGUAUUGAAAUUGUUGCACAAGUUCAUUAGCUAGGUCAUCCCGACUAAUCCACUUGUCAAUGUCUUGGUUAACAAACCAUUCCAAAGGUAGGCCUGAAAGACUCUCCCCGAAAUAAGCUAUGAGUAGUUCUUCCUUCCCUCCAACGCCUCUUAAUUGGUUAAAUAGCUCCUCAAAUGUGCCACUAGAUCCCCAUGUCCAUCAAAUUUCUCUAACUUGACCCCUAGAAACAUGCAUAAGUCCUUAUAUGAGACACUUUUGUAAUCCCCAAGUCCUUGCAAAUUCUUCAUAGCCAGUUCCAAACUUCUCAAUUUUCUAGUCAUUUCCUCUUGUUCUUCUGUCAUAAAAGGCUUCUCAGUGUUAGGAGGAAAUUUAGGUGGGUGAGUGUCACCGUAAAGACCAGUUAACUUGAAUGUAGGUUCAGAAGUGCAACGCUGAACACCAGUAAUAUUCAAUGCAGGCUCUCUGUAGAGUAGUGAGGCACAACUUGUGGAGGAACAUCAAAAGUAGGAGCUUCAGGUGGAGGUGGUGCCACAAAAGCAUGAACAGCAGGUGGAGCCGAGUAUAUGGUAGUCUUGGAUUGUGGAGUGAGGAAAUGAACAUCAGAAAUGGUUGGCUAUUGUUGCCCUGGAGUCGAUCCUGAUGCAUGUUGUGGCAUAUCAAUAAAAAUAGAAAAUUGUGUAUGUGACACAGGAGGCAAGCUAGAAAGAUAUUCCAGAUUAUCAGUGAGAACUGGAGGAGGCGGCCACCUAUUAUCCCAAGCUCGAUGCAUUUCUAUCAUUUGCUGCCUUAAUUUUUGAAUCUCUUUAUUAGCUCCUAAAUUAUCAUUUCCCAAACUCCCUUUCUGAUUAGUGACAAUAAACUCGGUAUCCUUGUUGGCCAUAACCUUCUCUGUGACUUGGUACACUAUGGAGGACCAACCAAAAUGCCACAAACCAACCACCUCAAACUAACUGAACAAGAGAUAGCAAAUGUGUUAGAGUUCAACACUUUCUCAAAAUCUUUUUUUCCUUUUUAAAAAGGUCACCAAACCUAAGAAGGGUGCCUACGUAUCUCACCCCCGAGAGAGGAUAAUCAGGUGUGCGUAGUUCGUGAAGUCUUGCCAAAAUGGACAAUUAAACUCUUUUUUCUUUAUUUUUCUUUUUCUUGAAAAUUUAAAAAAGAAAAGAAUAUAACAAAUUGUCAAAAAAAUUGACUAAAAACUUUUGAAUUUUUCAUCUUAACAUCCCUAUACAAAAUGACAUCUAUGAUCACCAAAGAAAUUUUUUUUGAAUUUUUGAUUUUCAAUUUCAUACAGAAAUGAAACUUGAACCUAUUAAAGAAUUAUUUUUUUUUGUAGUUUUCUUUUAAAAAUAUAUAUGAAACACCUACUCUAAAUAAAGAGUGAAGAAUAUCUUUUUGGAUUUUUCAAAUAAGAUAUAUCAAAAAUGAAACCUACAACUAUUAAGGAAAACUUUUUGUAGUUUUCUUUUCGAGGCAUAUGUGAAACACCUACUCUAAAUAAAGAGUAAAGAAAAUCUUUUUGGAUUUUUCAAAUAAGAUAUAUCAAAAAUGAAACCUACAACUAUUAAGGAAAAUCUUUUUGUAGUUUUCUUUUCGAGGCAUAUGUGAAACACCUAUUCUAAACAAAGAGUAUAGAAAAUCUUUUUGGAUUUUUCAAAUAAGAUCCCCAAACCAACAAUAGGUUGCCUACGUAUCUCACUCCUGAAAGAGGAGAAUCAGGGGUGCGUAAUUCGUCCAGAGUGGACAAUUGAGAAUUAAAUAAUGAACUGAACCCUGACUUAAGAGAAACGACCAAAGACAGACGAUGAACAAUGUAAAUAAAAUCUUUUCGAGUUUUCAGUUAGACCAUUCACAUAAGACUGAUACUAACAACUAUGAAAGAAAAAUCUUUUUGGCAUUUUCAUUUUUAUGAAAUGGACACAACUACUACCAUUUUUGAAACUUCUAAAGAAAAUCUUUUUUUUUUUGGAAUUUCUGAAUUAUGAAUGCAUGCUAAAGGAGAUAAAGGGAAAAUCUUUUUGAAAUUUUGUUUUUUUGAAAAAAUGAGUGAGAAAGGUAAAAAAUCUUUUUGAAUUUUUGAAUUGUGAAAAACUAAACCCAUAAAGAAUACUAAAAUCUACGAAACCCUUUUUGACUCAUUUCUUCUUUUUCUUUUUUUCUUUUUUUUUCAAACACACCUUACUUCUAACACAUGCUUUUCCCAAAUCAGUCCGCCAAAUGACCACAUCACCCUCAAAUAUGCAACAUUUAGCAUGUAGGAAUGCUUUAGAGGUGAGUCUCCUACAAAGGACCAAGUGGGACCCGCUAGGUCUCAAUAUGAUGCACAUAAGUAUGACCUAAAGGCUGACCUACGCCGGGAUUUACUAACAAGGUUGUUCGGGGGAGUGUAUGGUCGAUAGUGGCUGUGACAACUUUCCACCCAGUCCAUACAUCCAAUGGCUCCCCUUCCUAAAAUAAAGGUGACUCAACUAGAGUUCGUGUACACGACGUGCACUCCGAGACUUGUUGCAGAAAGAAUUGACUCGGAUUAUGAAAAUGAUGCCAGAUAUAAAGCGGUAACACAUAAGGAAAAACAGUAAACACAUAGCACGUAGGCACACAACAAUGAUAAAAUAAACACAAACAAUAACACGAAUAAUGUUUAUACACCUAUAAUGUCAAACUAAGCCGAUACAACUCCAAAAAUAAGCUCAAAUUCUGAAAAAUCCCUAGCAAAGUCGCCAGAGCUGUCACACCCCUUUUUUGCAACCAAAAAGAUUGGAUUUUAAUAUUCGAAAGGGUUUUAUUGAUUAAAGUGACAAAUGAUGAAAGUUCAUUUCGAAAAAUGAUUAUUUACAUUUUUUUUUCAGAGUCGCCACUUGGCAUAAUCUGGUGUGCCAAGUCACCAUCGGAAAAUCCUUUUCAAUACCAUUUGACUCUUUAUGACUGGUCUGUGAAAAGAGAUUCCGGCUAAGGAAUUCUGUUAACCGAGGGGAAGCUGUUAGGCACCCCUCAGUCCCGUGGUUUGACCACGGUCACUUGGCGGAGAGUAUCAUCUAAUUUUAACACUACAAAUGUAUAAGCCACAUAAAACACACAAAACAAUCAGUAAAAUCAACAAAAAACAAAACAAAUCCAAAAUCAAAAUGUCCAAUCCGAUUAUUACAAACCAAAAUAGGAAAACGCAAAAAUAAAAAUCCUAUUCUAAACUAGUCCUAGGAUAAACUCCAUUGCUUUACCCGACGCCUCGGGCCUUGACCGUGCACCAUCUUUGAGUACAACUUUCUCGGGGAAUUCCCCGAAUAAAAUAAUACAGAUACUUCGCGGCAUCCCCCGGCCAAAUGAGUACAAUUGAGUCGAAUACAAUAAAACAAAACCAUCUCAAUACACAUAUCAAUCAUUCAAUCAAUCCACAAUCUCUAGAUUUUCCUACCCGACCUACGGCUUGCCUAUUCCUUCUAGACCUACAACAUGGCACUAUCGGGUUCAACCACAUUCAUGCUUAUUCUGAAUUAAACCAAAUUACGAUAAACCAAAAUUGAUCUAUAUUCACCCAUUUUGUCAAUUUGUUAAUUUCACCCCAUCUAGCUUUAUUUUUAUCCAUCACACCAUCAACAAUACUCAAAUUCGCACCACAUAUCACCGAAAUCACAUUGUUAAGCACAUGAUCACAACAUAAAUAAAAUCCAACAAUCAUAAUCACCAAUGAUUCAUGUAAUCAAAUCAAGUUCACAAUCACAUAAGAAUUAAAAGGAAGAGAAGAAAGAAUUGUAACUCAAUGCCACUUUCAAAUAUUAUUCAAUUAAACGAGAUGAAAUCCGCAUCGGAACCUUGAACCAAACCUCAACACGAACUCCAAAUCAGAUCUCGACCACGAAUAUCAAAAUUAGAUUCUUGAAUCUCACCCCGCACUCUAUCUUUGUCAACCUAAAACAAAAAUCUAGAAACAACGAGAGACCCGUACCGAUUCGUGCACCCCAUUACUGCUCCGUUGGGGUUUUCUUAGAUUGGAGCAGAGUUGUUAUUGUGGUGUCACAGGUGAUCCGGAGAACUCAGGCAGCAGCAAUAUCCAACGAAUGGGAUCGAACUCCGGCGGCUCUCAGGCGAAACUCGCCAGAGCUGUAACCAUCCCCUUUUUUUCAAUUCUCACUCCCUCCUUUUCUUGAUUUCUAUCUCUCUUAAUCUCCCUUUAUUCUAUGUGUGUAUUUUUGCGUGCCAUUUUUUGUAUGCUGUCCAAAAAAAAAAAAAGAAAAUCACGUUAUUUUUAUCCAAGAAAAAAGAAAAUGGCGUCCUUUUUUGCUCAAAAUGAUGAUGAUCCAAAAAAAAUCCCUCCGUAUUGUUGUCCUUAUUUCUAUUUAUAUACAAUGAGAUGUCUAUGUGCGUAUGACAAAAUGAAAACAAAAAUGGUGGGGUCCAAGUAAGGUGUGCAUCUGGAAAUUUCUUGGAAGAUCCGCUAUGUGAAUACUUAUCUAUUUUAUUUUGGGAAAAAAAAGGGGAGGGGG